CAGUCGCCACGGUAAUACGAAGGGUGCAAGCGUUACUCGGAAUUACUGGGCGUAAAGCGUGCGUAGGUGGUGGUUUAAGUCCGUUGUGAAAGCCCUGGGCUCAAUCUGGGAAUUGCAGUGGAUACUGGGUCACUAGAGUGUGGUAGAGGAUAGUGGAAUUUCCGGUGUAGCAGUGAAAUGCGUAGAGAUCGGAAGGAACAUCUGUGGCGAAGGCGACUAUCUGGGCCAACACUGACACUGAGGCACGAAAGCGUGGGGAGCAAACAGGAUUAGAUACCCCCGUAGUCCCUGUCUCUUAUAC
rnacentral:rRNA from 1 species